UAUUCUCACUCGAGCUCCUUCUUCUCUGUUUGUCGAUUUUCCAUCAAGAUGAUUCCUUUCACACUUAUCCACUGCUUCUUCAGACUGUGAGUUGGACUUUUUUCUAAUAUAUCAUGUGAAUGGACAAAAGCAAGAUGAUUCCUUUUCAUAGUUAUUCCUCUGUCUCUCCAGAAAAGUAGUGAAGUUUUUCUCCUAUGGAUUAGACUAAUGCUUUAUCCUGCGGCAACAACAAACAACCAUCAAGAUAUCAAGAGACGAACAUUGUUAUUUGGAUUGGAGAAGUAAAAUGCUCUCUGGUUUCUCUUCAAAAUGUAAUGGAAUGAUGUGAACAGAACACCUGAAAUAAUAUGUUGGGAUUGAUUCAAGAUCAUGAGUUUCCAUGCAUCGGAUUACGCAAAUGAUUCAUAGUGGUCUAAUUUUCAGAUGUAAGCAAGUCAAUCAUGUUUUUGUUGGAGAAGUGAGCUACGGAAUGGAACACGGUUCAAUAGCUUCGCAAACAUACUCUCUAAAAGUUUUGGAUGAUGAACUUAUGCAACCUCAACAUUACAAAUAUGGUUGAAGUACCGAUUACAAGAUCAAGAUUUACACGAAGAGCAUAGCGAGUUGGCCUAAUUUGUGCAAGCACAAAUUUGAUCCUGUGGCAU